UGCCCAACUUGCAGACUUUUCAAUUUUCGGCAAGUGGAAUUGAGGUCUUAUAGUUAGGUAGA
rnacentral:pre_miRNA from 1 species